rnacentral:rRNA from 1 species
AGUAGUUUGAUCAGUGGCUCGAGGACGACGCUGGCGGCGUGCUUCAUACAUGCAAGUCGAACGAGAAAUUCACUUCGGUGGAUGGAAAGUGGCGGACGGGUGAGUAAUGUGUAGAGAAUCUGCCCUAGAGUGGGGGACAACAGAGGGAAACUUCUGCUAAUACCCCAUAUGCGCGUAGCUGAGAUGCUAUUCGUGAAAGAUUUAUCGCUCUGGGAUGAGUCUGCAUCUGAUUAGCUAGUUGGGGGUGUAAUGGACCACCAAGGCGACGAUCAGUAGCUGGUUUGAGAGGAUGAUCAGCCACAAUGGGACUGAGACACGGCCCAUACUCC